UGCUUUCAAAUUGUUACUGCAGGUAUGCUUGCAGAUCAGUUUGACAGUUGUUGCAGCCAGCCAACUGCAUUAGUUUCACUUCAGGUGGCAAGUGAAAAACCUUUUGAAUGUACUCCACUACUCCCUUGCUGUUAGCAAAUUGUGGACUGACGUGGCGAAGCAAGUGAGUGUCAAUCAAUGGACAACUAUGUUCACUCGUUAAAAAUGUGAAAUGUCGUUGGGGCUGGCCUUGCAGUCGGACGAAAUCACGUCGUCUUGUUUGAUUGGCUCACAGACAGCACGUGGUACGAGCGAGUGCUGGCCAUUCAAGUGCCAACGUCGGGGAAUUACCUCAAGAGGCUAACGGUCGUCCAGGAACGACUAUACUACUUGGUGGCCUAAUGCGAUUUUCUGUUGGAAGUUUUACUUGAAUAAUUGUUUCCCAUCUUGCCAGCGCUUAAAGCAAGGGCGUCAGUUAACCGUUGAGGAUCGAGUACCUUUCGCCGGCCGUUGUCGGGGCCCAAACGCCUUCUAUUGGCUGUUCCAGUGUUCCUUUAAGAGAUAUGAGAGAAAAUGGAAGUUGCCAAAGUCGGCAAAGUGUCCAGUCCUUGUGGCCGCUUCCUGAUAGCAUUCGUGAUUCAACUCUACGAGCCAUUCGCCGAGCGUUUGGGUCUGGAAGUACAAGCUGGCCACUUUUCACUGCUCUCAUGCGACGCGUCAGGCGUCACCAACUUUAAGCCAAAAGUCAUCAAUGCCACAGUCAAGAAACUGAGACCAAGUUGAUAACGCUGGGCAGCAAAUUUAAGACAUUGAAUCUCAUCUGUGCCUAUUCUGAGCAGUUCAACCCCUGACCUUCAGGGGAAAAAAACUGGAAUGUGCAACUAUUCGUUUUCUUGGAGAGCUGAUCGUCGUCAGGUGGCGUUGAAAGUAUGUCCACCAGGUGGCCUUCUUCUUUGGUUCAGAACUGAGAACUGGCAGUGCCAUUUGUUUCCGAGACGUUGAACUUGUAAACGACUGCCAAGAUUUGUGUUCUACGUACAAUACGACUAAAAUUAUUUUCGUAUUCUGCAAAGGCUUUGUUUAAGGUGCAAUCCUGUCCACUGUUCCGAGAACUUCUAGUUGAGCCCUUAGCAUGUGGUCACAUCCAGGUCUGUCAGCCAGGGUAAUUUGAAGAUGUUUUCGUCCAAUGAAGAACAUCUCGACUUGCUGCUUACUAACUGCAUGAAUUGGGAAGUUGCCUUUAUUGCACAUACAACAGCUUGUUUUUUAUUUUGCUUUAUAUCAUAUUUGUUUCAUAGGUUUUUUUACGCUGUUGGUUGAUGUUUGAAGUAAAACUGAAAUUGCCAAUGGUGUUGCAGUCUAAUGUGCUGAUGCUGUUGCCUGCCUGUUACAUGGUUUAAGGAUUAGUUUUAAAAAAUUGAAUUUACGAAGGUUCCCAUUGUUUUUUUGUUACGUGUGUUCUCUAUUUGUUACUAUGUACGUGGUGUGUGUUCAGAAAGCUGUUGGUUUUGAUUUGUUUGUUUGUAUUUGCUUUGGCUUGUUUGUUUUUUUGUUAUUAUUUG
rnacentral:lncRNA from 1 species